rnacentral:lncRNA from 1 species
GACCUUAAAUUUUAGUUGUAAUUUAAUUUCUUGAAAGUCUAUGUUGUAAUUUCUUGAAAGUCUAUGCUUGAAUUUCCUUGGAAUACCUUAAUUUUAGUUGUAAUUUAAUUCAAAGUCUAUGUUGUGAUUUAAUUUCUUAAAUUUGCAAAUUAUUUUCAAAUGUGCUGCGGGUUUGGGUUUAGGUGGAAAAAACCUGAACCCAAUGGGUGUGGGCGUGGGUGUUGCUUUGCCACCCGAAUAGCCUUUGGGUUUGGGUUUGGGUUUGGGUGAUGAUUUCGGGUGUGGGUUUGGUAAGUGUCAAACCCGCACCCAUGGGCGCCCGUUGCCAUCC